rnacentral:rRNA from 1 species
UACGUAGGGGGCUAGCGUUGUCCGGAUUUAUUGGGCGUAAAGAGCGUGUAGGCGGCUUGGCAAGUCUGCUGUGAAAACUCGAGGCUCAACCUCGAGCUGUCGGUGGAAACUGCUUGGCUAGAGUCCGGAAGAGGAGAGUGGAAUUCCUGGUGUAGCGGUGAAAUGCGCAGAUAUCAGGAGGAACACCGAUGGCGAAGGCAGGUCUCUGGGCCACUACUGACGCUGAGAAGCGAAAGCAUGGGGAGCGAACAGG